UCCAGGCUGGGAUGGAAGCUCUGAAG
rnacentral:piRNA from 1 species